rnacentral:lncRNA from 1 species
CAUGGUGCUGCAGCCUUCUUCGCAAGCUUACUGUCGAUCAUCCUUCACAAGAACUGCUUGCAUCAUCACUUGUAUGCCUUCGAGACCUCCACUAAGACCAAUCUAGGAAUCAUUUCCCAAGGGAUCUCAUCACACAAAAAUCAGAUUUAAUGUUCAACAUAUAAAUAAUCUGAUUUUAGGACAAGCAUCACAUGCUUUUCAUUUUCUCUCAUCCAUUCCUUUCUAUUUUUCUUCCUCCCUUUUUCUUAUCUUUUUUCUAGUCUUCUCUUUUAUUUUUCCUCUUAUUCUCAUGCCUAUCCUCAGCCAAAAUGGGAUGUGGAACCAAGGUGUAGCACCCC